rnacentral:rRNA from 1 species
AGAGUUUGAUCCUGGCUCAGAUUGAACGCUGGCGGCAUGCCUUACACAUGCAAGUCGAACGGCAGCACGGGAGCAAUCCUGGUGGCGAGUGGCGAACGGGUGAGUAAUAUAUCGGAACGUGCCCAGUCGUGGGGGAUAACGCAGCGAAAGCUGUGCUAAUACCGCAUACGAUCUCUGGAUGAAAGCGGGGGACUCAGCAAUGGGCCUCGCGCGAUUGGAGCGGCCGAUAUCAGAUUAGCUAGUUGGUGGGGUAAAAGCUCACCAAGGCGACGAUCUGUAGCUGGUCUGAGAGGACGACCAGCCACACUGGAACUGAGACACGGUCCAGACUCCUACGGGAGGCAGCAGUGGGGAAUUUUGGACAAUGGGCGCAAGCCUGAUCCAGCAAUGCCGCGUGCAGGAUGAGGGCCUUCGGGUUGUAAACUGCUUUUGUACGGAACGAAACGGCUCUCUCUAAUAAAGAGGGCCAAUGACGGUACCGUAAGAAUAAGCACCGGCUAACUACGUGCCAGCAGCCGCGGUAA